rnacentral:rRNA from 1 species
AUUGAACGCUGGCGGCAGGCCUAACACAUGCAAGUCGAGCGGAUGAGGGGUGCUUGCAUCCCGAUUCAGCGGCGGACGGGUGAGUAAUGCCUAGGAAUCUGCCCGAUAGUGGGGGACAACGUUUCGAAAGGAACGCUAAUACCGCACACGUCCUACGGGAGAAAGUGGGGGCUCUUCGGACCUCACGCUAUCGGAUGAGCCUAGGUCGGAUUAGCUAGUUGGUGGGGUAAAGGCUCACCAAGGCGACGAUCCGUAACUGGUCUGAGAGGAUGAUCAGUCACACUGGAACUGAGACACGGUCCAGACUCCUACGGGAGGCAGCAGUGGGGAAUAUUGGACAAUGGGCGAAAGCCUGAUCCAGCCAUGCCGCGUGUGUGAAGAAGGUCUUCGGAUUGUAAAGCACUUUAAGUCGGGAGGAAGGGCUGCAGGUUAAUACCUUGCAGCCUUGACGUUACCGACAGAAUAAGCACCGGCUAACUUCGUGCCAGCCGCCGCAGUAAGAC